rnacentral:rRNA from 1 species
AUUGAACGCUGGCGGCAGGCCUAACACAUGCAAGUCGAGCGGAUGACGGGAGCUUGCUCCUUGAUUCAGCGGCGGACGGGUGGGUAAUGCCUAGGAAUCUGCCUGGUAGUGGGGGACAACGUUUCGAAAGGAACGCUAAUACCGCAUACGUCCUACGGGAGAACGCAGGGGACCUUCGGGCCUUGCGCUAUCAGAUGAGCCUAGGUCGGAUUAGCUAGUUGGGGAGGUAAUGGCUCACCAAGGCGACGAUCCGUAACUGGUCUGAGAGGAUGAUCAGUCACACUGGAACUGAGACACGGUCCAGACUCCUACGGGAGGCAGCAGUGGGGAAUAUUGGACAAUGGGCGAAAGCCUGAUCCAGCCAUGCCGCGUGUGUGAAGAAGGUCUUCGGAUUGUAAAGCACUUUAAGUUGGGAGGAAGGGCAGUAAGCUAAUACCUUGCUGUUUUGACGUUACCGACAGAAUAAGCACCGGCUAACUCUGUGCCAGCCGCCGCCGUAA